AAGCAAUCACGUUUUCUUGAGUUCUUUAUUCAAGUUCUGCAAAAAAUCCUGAAUGAAGAGAAAUUUCACAGUGUUCUGGAAUGGGCAGAAAAUGUGCAAACUUACUUGAAAAGGAGGAACAACCACAUUCUCUGUAUCAGUGAAACUCCAAGACAUAAAACGAGCUCUCCCAGUGAGCCUGAGGGCACCAAGAAAUACACUAGAGGAAUUAAGGAGAAAAGUACAGAGACCUCACCUUUAAAGAAGCAGGAAGCAUCAGCUUUGAAGAAACAAAGAAAAGAAACCCCGAGUCCUACUAGAAAAAGGCAGACUCUUAGACAGUAUUUUGUGAAACAUCCAAACAUAAUGAAAU
rnacentral:lncRNA from 1 species